UCUCUGGUAGUAUAGUGGUGAGUAUCCGCGCCUGUCACGUGCGAGACCGGGGUUCGAUUCCCCGCCAGAGAG
rfam:Strongyloides stercoralis strain PV0001 genome assembly, scaffold: SSTP_contig0000203